ACAGAGUCUCAUACACACACAGAGUCUCACACACACAAACAUAGAUAGAGACAGACACACACACUCACCCAUCCAGCGCAGCGCUCCUUCUCACCGGGCGCCGUGCGAGUGACGUAACUGACGUCCUCCUGCGCGGCCAUACGGUGUGACGUCAGGCCGGCGCAGACGUGGGAGCGGAGGCCGGGCACAAUGCUGGUGAAGGAUUACCAGGUUCUCGAAAGAUCAAAGACUUGGACCAACAACCAAGUUGACUACACUUAUAGUUGAAGCAGUCAUGAACAAACAGUACACCAUUACCAUUUCAUAGUAAAAGAUUGAAGAGCCUGCUGGACCAUGGGAGAGUGCAUGAUGUGAAGCAAUUACUUAGCCAGUGUUUCCCAACUAGCGUGCCUCCAACUUUUUGUGUUCCAAGCUUAAAAGUCCUAGAUGCACAGUAUGACGCAUCCCGGAGGAGCCUGGCAGACGCCAUUGACCUAUAACAGGGUCUGUCGGGGUCUCAUAACGGUCUAGGUUUUGAUUUGUCGUUUAGUGAUUCGCUUGCUGUCAAAUUUGAGAGAAUUGCCAACGCCAGUGUUUUAUUUCACCCAACAAUGACGUUAUCAGCUUAUACAAGUAGCCAUUGUAUAUAUAUUUAUUUAAUCAGUACUUUUCCCCAG